rnacentral:misc_RNA from 1 species
UCUGAUGUUUUUGUAGGGAAUGCUCUCAUAGACAUGUACAUGAAAUGUGGAUCAGUUGAGGAAGGGUGUCGGGUUUUUGAAAAUAUGGUGGAAAGGGAUUAUGUUUCAUGGAAUGCCAUGAUAGUAGGGUAUGCACAAAAUGGUUAUGGGAUGGAGGNAUUUAGGAAAAUGUUGGCAUCCGGAGAGAAACCAGACCAUGUUACUUUAAUUGGUGCUUUAUGUGCUUGUAGCCAUGCAGGGCUUGUAGAAGAGGGUCGACGUUACUUUUCCACAAUGACGGAGGAGUAUGGUGUGGAACCAUUGAAGGACCAUUAUACAUGCAUGGUUGAUUUACUUGGUCGAGCUGGAUGCCUCAAUGAAGCCAAAAAUUUGAUAGAGGCAAUGCCUAUGCAGCCCGAUGCAGUUGUCUGGGGAUCUUUGCUUGCUGCUUGUAAAGUUCAUCACAACAUUACCUUGGGGGAGUACGCUGCAGAGAAGCUAUUAGAAAUUGACUCAACAAACUCUGGACCCUAUGUUCUUCUCUCAAAUAUGUAUGCUGAGCUUGGCAGAUGGAAGGAUGUCAUGAGAGUAAGAAAAUUGAUGAGGCAUCGAAGAGUCAUUAAGCAGCCUGGUUGCAGCUGGAUUGAAAUACUAGGCCAUGUGCACGUUUUCAUGGUGAAAGAUAAGAAACACUGUCGGAGGAACGAGAUCUAUUUGCUUUUGAAAAUUCUUACAGAGCAUAUGAAGAGAGCUGGAUAUGUCCCAGACGUUGGUGAUCAUGAGGCUUACGAGGAACAGACUGACUUAGAGGUGAGCACGUGCUUCCAAAUGGAAAUACCAGAAGAGUUUGCUGUCAUGUAAUUUGUGUGGGAAUGAUUUGGUUCCAAUGUUCUAUUCUUGAUGCUUGUUUUACCAAAGCCUGACCAAUUGUUUUAUUAACUUACCGAUGGGAAAUAAAAGAUCCUCUGCCAUGUUAUGCUCAAAAGUUACACACUUUGAUAAGAGCCAAUAAUGUUUUAUUAGAGGCAAUCUUAUUGUUAUACAUAUGUUGGACAUAUAUGCGAC